CUCGUAGGCGGUUCGUCGCGUCCGGUGUGAAAGUCCAUCGCUUAACGGUGGAUCCGCGCCGGGUACGGGCGGGCUUGAGUGCGGUAGGGGAGACUGGAAUUCCCGGUGUAACGGUGGAAUGUGUAGAUAUCGGGAAGAACACCAAUGGCGAAGGCGGAUCUCUGGGCCGUUACUGACGCUGAGGAGCGAAAGCGUGGGGAGCGAACA
rnacentral:rRNA from 1 species